rnacentral:rRNA from 1 species
CCCUUAGAUGUUCUGGGCAGCACGCGCGCUACAAUGGUCUUCGCAAACGGAUGCAUUCUCGAAGGAGAAUGCCAAUCUUGGAAUCUAUGCCUUGGUCGGGACAGUUGCUUGCAAUUUUUCGACUCGAACCAGGAAUUCCUUGUAAUCGUGAUUCAUCACAUCACGAUGAAUACGUCCCUGCCCUUUGUACACACCGCCCGUCGCUCCUACCGAUCGAAGAGUUAGGUGAAUUGUUUUGAUCGAUAAGAUUUGACUAUGGUCAACUCUCGUUGUGAAAUUCUGUGAAUCUCACUGUUUAGAGGAAGGAAAAGUCGUAACA